ensembl:lncRNA
GUGAGAACUGAAACCACAGACAUUGGGAACAGUCCCAGGAAAACUUUGGUUUUAUUUAUUAUUUUCGUUAAUGCAUCUGGACAUUUUUGCUUCCCUUUGCUUUUCUAUCAGUGGUUGUUAGUGCUUCUACUUUCUCACUUAAGUUAUGCUACAACUGGUUUUCAGUCUUAGACUCGAGAGAUAUUUCUGUGUUUUGUGUAUAUGAAUACACUUUGAAGAAACAUAUAUAUGUGUAUAUAUAUGUUAUAUACAUGCUAUAACUGGGAGUUGCUGCUUUUGACAUGCGUAGCUAUUGGAUAGGAUCGUUCGAGUUGGAAGGGACCCUUAAGGACCAUCUAAUCCUACUCUCUGGCUCUGAACAGGACACCUGCUGUUGAUCAGGUUGCUCAGAGCAUGAUCCAUCCUGAUUUUGAAUGUUUCUAAGGACAUAUCUCCAAUAGUAGAAAACAACUUGGCAGCUUUCUAUUGCAGAAUGGAAAGUUCACGCACAAUUGUAGGGGCUCCAUGUAUUUCUGAGCUGUGUCAUACCACUGUAUUGCCCCUGAAGCACCCUAUGUGAGGGUGCUAAUCUAGGUAGGUUAUGUCAGCUGUGGGAAUUCAGUCCCAGAAACAAACCUUUGCAUCUCUUGGAACAGCUGGAGAGGCUCAGGUCCACUCAUCCAGCUCAGAGUGGACACGAGGAAUUUGGAUUAAAUGCAGAUGGAGUGGGGAUUUUGUCAGUGACAGAAGGGGAGGAAAACACUGAGCUACGACUGUCUGAAUGCAAAUAUAUGGCAUCUGUGUACCUAUUCUGACUUGAAAGUACGAAAAUCAUAAAUAUGCUAUAAUGCAAGAGGCAAAGCAUAUGCGAAGGUAACGAUAUCCCAUUACUUCCCCUACAGAAAAGAAUUUUCAUAACUCAUUCAUACUCAGUUGAAUAAAUGCUAAGAUUCACUGCUGGCUGUUAAUUAUCCUUCACAAAGACCUGGUUAUUGUGUUCAACCUCAGUAAAGGCACAGUUGUUAUUGUAGCGUACAUAGAGAGAAUGGUACCUAAGGGAGAGAGGAGGAAACAGGCUCGUGCAGGAUUUUAACAAGGAGCGCUGUGUUGCACAGAAGGGAAUUUGUAGGGUGGGGUUUUGAUAUAAUGCGCUUCAGGAAAUGAAGCUUUUUGAAAAGACAAAAACCUUGCUGCGACUCUCUGCAUUCAUAUCACUCAGAAUUUGAAAGACACCAGACACUUUAAAAUUACUGUUAUUAAAAGGAAUUUCGAUGAUGAUUUUGUAUGAAGAGGUAGAAGGCAGGAAUUGGUCUGUCCAUAAUCAUACCAAGGCAGGUGCAUGCAGGAGCUCACGAGGCCCAUCUCCAUGGGGUUUUUCAGGUGCACUGGAGGCCUCCAUCCAAAGACUGCAGGCUGCUUCCACAUCGGCAGGGCAAGGCGUGGGGGACUUAUGGGAGCUUUUCCUGCAGUUCGCAGCGCAACAGCACUGUGGAAGAGCGCCAGCUGGAACUGCCAUCUGAGCUGGGUGCCGUGCUGAGCCACCAGGACUCGUUGGACUUCAGAAACAGAAGGACUGGGAACAAAGGUAACUUCAGCGCAGUAGCGGAACCCAGCUUCCCUCCCCAUUGCUUUUCCCCAUUUCUCCUCUAUAUCCUUCUUUUCCUUUGCGCAGGGGACAAGUGGUUGCUUUAUUGUUCCAAAAGUGCACGUUGAAAGGAGAAAAAAACAUGUAGUUUCUGGUAGAAAUAUCGAGAACAAGAAAACUGAAUAUACAAAGCUAAAAUAAGCAGAAGUACAACUUCUAUAAAUAUCACGCGUAGCUAGGGAUGAAGAGAAUAGGAAGAAGAUGUUGACAGAAGUGAAGCAAGAAUUUUGGGGUGGGAUACAAAACGAUAUGAGACAAAACAUGAGCCUCUGGGCUGCCCUUCCCUGCGUGGCUCAUUGCAUGUCACUCUGGUAGCCCAGCAAUUGUCUGCUCUCCAGUGCUUUGACAGAACUGGGAGGUCUCUUCUGCAGUCCCUCGUGGCCAAUCCAGCGUAGUGGGUAAGAAAGCAGCAUCAGAAGAGCUAGUGCACUUUGGAGUUGCUUGUGUCAAAAGAUCAAGUCCUACCUAGGCUUCUUCCAGAAUCCCAAACGUGGUCAGAGUGUAGCAGUGAAGUAAAUUUUACCUUCUGGCCAACUGUUAGCUCUGUGUUUAGCGUUAAAUUCUUGCUGACUUCAGUCAGAAACUGGUUUUCUUUGCCGCCACACCCCCCCCUUUUCCCCCCCCCCAUUGUAGUUAGUGAGACAAGCACCAGGCUCAGAGCAAGCUGAGAGAUGCCUGCUGCUGGGCGGCCAGCAGGAGCUGUGGAGCAUCUCUCCCAUGGUGUGAACCACUUUGGUUUAGAUCUGAUAUUUUCUGCUCAAGUGGUGUAUGUGAACAAGCAGGAUCCCAAUGCAUUUCCAGUAUUUUCAGCUUGGGAAAUUCGCAGUAAGACCAUUUUUUUUCCUGUAAUCCUCUUGUUGCGAAGAUGGUUUUUGUGUUGUGGCAUGCCCUGGGGGAAAAAGGGAAGUUUGUAAGUAUUUCAGGGGUUUUAACAGUGUUACUUCAAACUGCAUACUAUCCUAAUAGCUACUUGCAAAGUUCUUGUUUAUUUGGGAACGACCUGUAUCGCAUCCAUAAAACCAUUAAUGUUUAACACUAAAAUAUCUUGAGAAGAUUUUAUUAAGGAUUUGCUUUUUCUGUUGAUCUUUCUGAAAUAGCUUUUGAGCCCCUUUUGGCUCUGACUUUCCUGGCCCGCAGCUGUUGUCUUCCAACUAUAACAAAUGCACACUGCACCUCCUGAGGUCUUACUUGGAGCCUAAGUGGAAAAAUAACCCUUAGUGAAAUCCCGUUAGAGAUGUGUUGUGCUCCAUCUGUGGAGCUGGGGUAUCAGAAGUGUGAACAAAGGUUAUUCUUUGGUUCCUGCGGGGGAGCAAGACUUGUCUUGUCUAGAGUUGCCUUCUAGGAACCAUGUCAGUAAAGAAGAAUGCUGGCUCUUCCCACUUUCUCAAUUUUCAGAUCACGUUUGUCAGCCUUAUAGUGAAAGGAUACUAAACUGAGUAUACAAAACUUGCAAGAUGGGAGUGAUCAGCUGGCCAGCGUCGAAGGGAUGGAUUUGUAUUCGUGUCUCAGCAGUGCAAGCAUAAUGGUAAUGUUCAGGUACUUGGGCAAAGCAAUGACAUGGGCAGUGCCAGGGCUCUGACUGUGGAUCAGUGACAAUUCGCUCUCCCUCCUCCCCUCCACUUUUUCCUUCAUUCAACCAAGCAGCAUAAGUGCUUAUUGCUGCAGAAUGUAAGUGCUGCCUUGCAACAACCACAUGCAACCUAGGGUACAGGCUUUUUUGGUAUAUACAAAAACCAUCUUGUUAUUAUGACUGUCUUCGUCUAAGUAUGCUACUCCCAGAGAAGAGUUACCAUGUUCUUAGGGCUCAACGCACACUGCCAUCAGACACUGCACAGCAGAAUUGUCCUUUUGCUGGCACAGCCUUCAGUUUCAGCCUGAGUAGCAGCUCAUCUGGCGUUUGUCUUCACAUGUGAGAGAAAAACACCAAGACAAUUGCUCUCUGCAAGUCAGAGAGCUGUUCAGAUGAGCUGGGGUAUCUGGAUGUCUAAGCAAACCUGCAUCAAAGUACAGAAUGCCUUAGUGCCGUGUUAUUUGUGUUUUUGCUUUUCACGUGUUGUCUUGCAACAGCAGGGGGUGUUUGCUCCAGGGCUGUGGUUUCCUGGUGCAUGUUGUACCUUACGUGGUUCGUGGUCACUCUGGUGGGUAGGAGCAGAGGAGCCCAGCUGGGAUUGCCAGCUCUGAAGUGUUUGAGCUUCCUCAGCAAAGCCUGCAUCAGCCUGAAGCGCACAUAGCUUCUCUCCUGGAGGAGACUAUGUGAAGAGGUGGGAGAAGGGGAAGAUAUAUCCCUACCUGGAGUAUAGGAAAGGGCACUGAGAAAACACCUGUAAAGGAAGGAAUCUAAGCAGGGCCAGCAUUCACGGUGCCAGGCUUCAGACACUUGGAACACAGGGUGUUUGGGCUGUGUAAUAGAUCUUCUGUUGGAGCAAAAGCAAGUAAAUGUGUUCUAAGGGCAUGGGUGAGGGGUGGAGAUAGUAACUCAAAACAUGUGCAAGGAAAACACAAAGAUGAGAUCAGCUGUGAGGGAAGGAGGCCAAAGUCUGGGUAAAAGUGGAAAAGAAAUGAGGGAGGCAGAAUAGGGAAAGUUAUCCCGCCUGCUUUGACAGUUCAGGGACUAAAGCCACUGUACAUGUCAACGGUUUAAUGCAAGCAAUGGAUCAGAAACUAUAUUUGUGUGAAGUAAACUGAAGUGACUCUGACAUCCACACCUGUUACAAAAUGAUGGCGCUCUUCCUGGAAUGGAAAGGGAAGUUCACACACUGGAGAGUGGUAGUGGUAUAAAAAGUAGUAGAAGGGAGGGCUUUAUUACUCUCCUAGUCAUCCUUAACCCUUUUCUGAUGGAAAAUGUUGCAUCAACUUAACAACUGUUCUCCUGCUGUGCAUCCUGGGUGAGGGAGAGUGCGUGACGCCUGCGGCACAGCCUUGCCGUUGGUCCUGCAGGGAGCCAGCAUGGGACAAAGCAGAAUGGUGAGGGGCCUGGAGACCUUUCACGGCUGUGCCUGAAGCCCUGGUGGAAAGAUAGACAGGAGAAGAGCUGGUAAUGCUAUUUUCUACACCAGAGUGCCAAGAUAGUGUAACAAGUAAUUUCUGUAACAGCCAGAUGUGACAACAGCAGGAGCAGCAACUGGAAGAUCACAGUGCAUCUGGAUAAGGGAAUUUUACAUCUUUGUUUUGGUCACUGUUAAUUUCUUCCUGUUCUUAAUAAUCAUGCUGUCAAAUGCCCCUUCCUUUCAGCAAGUGGGUGUGCAAGGAGCCAUGUCGGUAGCCAUGUGCGUGUGUGAGGAGCUGGUUGUAUCUCACAAACCAAUCUGGAGGAGUAAAGUGAAGGUUUGCAUGGCCACCAAGUCAGGCUGUGGGGCAAUUUUGAUUUAAUUGUGUGCCAUAUAUGGCAACGGGUAUCGUUGUAUUUUUCAGCUUAGCUUUUUCUAACAGUUUUAGGUACCUCAUGUGGGGAAAGCAGUAUCUUUUAAAGAAUGCAUUCUAUAUUUGGUAAUGAUUCAAGGCACGAAUGUGUCUGAAGGAAAAAGGCUUUUCAAGUGGAGUGCUGCUGGCUCAAAGGUUCCCCAGCAAACUCUGCCGGGCUCUGCCUCUGAGCCGGGCUGCCCUCUCCCUGGCCCGAGCCUUGAGGGAUCAAUUCGGAAACUGUUUGACACUCUGCACGAUAUUCUUCAAUGGCCUCUUUCUUCUCUGGAAGAAAGAUGCAUGGAAAUGUCAGAGAGAAUUAACAGCUGGGAUGAGUGGGUGGCAAGGACUGAAAACUGUACGGAGACGAUUGAGAGGGGCACUGUCCCACAAGGAAGCAGCUACUAAUACUGCACAGGUGGGUUUGAAAAUAUUGGUUUGGUUUUGUUUUGAAGCAUAAUACAGCCUUAAAUUAAAAUUAAAAAAAAAAAAAAGAGGAAAUGAAAAGUGGAAAAACGAGUUCUGAACAGGCUCUAAUCUCCAGCCAGUAUCUUGGCAAUAGCACUAAUUGACAAAAUGUUGAGAGUGGCUUCUGUUAACAUUCAGACUGAAAAGCACCUGGUUGGAUGUAAUGUCCAGGGCUGUUAUGAUACACUUCCUAUGCACGAAUGUGUGGAAUGGCCCAACGUGGGGUGCCUGGGCCCGGCGGUGGCUCUGCGGUGGGCUUUGCAUCUCCCCUUCAGAUGCUGAAGCACCCAAGGGCACGCUGAGCUGCUGUGGGAUUUGGAGCCGCUGGAGGACCCACAGCGAUGCCUUCCACUGUUUGGCUUCUGCAGAGCUACAGUUUUCCUUUGGCAUCCAAGAGAGAAGAGAUGUCAGACAGUUGAUACCAGAGCUGCCACCUGACUCGUCGCUGAAUGCCAAAGCACGCCUCUGUGUUCUACUUAACACUGUGAGAUCCUGUCUCCAUUAAAUCUUCUGGAGUUCUGCCACGGAUUAGAAGACGAUUUACCCUUCACUUGUUUCUACAGCUGUAACUGGAAUUUCACAUCUCACCCAGGCUUCUCUUCCUUGGUAUUUCUGAUAUAAUUCUCCUCCUCUGUGGUAUUUACUGCAGGAAAAGAAAGCUGAACCUACAUGUUACCAUGGUCCAAAUUUUAAAAUUUUACUUCUCUGCACUGUGAAGACAGAAAAAUCCGCAAUGAACCAUGAAACUUUCCACUUCCUCUUUAAAAGUUAAUAAGUUAAAGGCACAAACCUCAUUUGUUCUGCUGCUCUUCAUGCUUGCCUACUUUUAAUGGCAUUAUGCUUGCAGCAAAAGCCACAAAGGUUUUAUGUGCCACCAUGGGCAUGCCAGAAAGUACGCUGAGCAACACGGGCUCCUCGCAGGAGGAGAGCAGAUGGGGGUCUGCCACCAGUGGCCCUGAGAGCUGCCAGAGCGAGCAGGGGAUGCAGCUGGAUUGUAACCCCAAGCCUCUUUCUCCUAGAGGGAGCCACAGAGUCCUGUUUGAUCUCGCUUGGGCAACUUGAAUUCAGAUUGAAGUGACGUUAUUUUUAGGAAUCUCUCAUCCCUCUAAAAAUAUUUCCUUUCAGAGUAUAUAAUUCCUGCUAUUAAGUUUUCAAAUUUUCAGUAAACAUAUGUGUGUAUAUAUAUAAUUUGCCACUCUCUUUCAUUUCCACAACGGCCUAAUUUCCUGCUAUUGGUAUUAUUAAAAGUAAAAUGCCAAAUUGGAAGUGAGACAGAAUUAUGCCAGACAAGAAGUACAUAACAACCCCCUUUUUUUUCUUAAUCUUUUUCAGGUGAAUCUAUAUUUAUUUCCAAUCCAACCUUGUGACAGGCUACGGAGAAGGAUCCUUAGAGACCGUAUUACUGAUUCUGCAAGUCAUGGUUAUAGGUUUUUUUUCCCCUGAACAGUUAUCUGAAGGAUCCUAUGUUUUGCUUUUUCCCAAUUAUUUCUGUAAUUUAACUAUAUCUGCUUCAGUGAUCCUGAAGGAUAGGACUUACGCUUAAAGAGGAUACUGAUGGGGUCCAACUGUAUUAUGUUUUAGGAAGCUUUAAAAAUAGGUGUUUCUGAUUUAAGUGAGGUGAAAUGAAAGAGUUCUCUCUCUACAGUGACAUUACCUGCUAAGUGACAACUUAUCAGCUUUGUGUGCCUAUCUGAUUUUUCUCAUUGUCUUUCUUCAAGUAGGGAAGAGAUCAGAUGAAUGUUUCCUCUUUGAAAGUAACAGAUUUUGUUAAUUAAAAAUGUUCUUAGGUGAAAUAAGUUGCCAACGGAAUAAAAAACACACACAUUUUACAGAGUAGAUGUAACUACCAUACUCUUUAUUUAAAAGUACACACAAAUAAAAACAAGACAAUACAAUUAAUGGGGGAAAAAACAUACGUAGCGCACUGAAGUUCUUUAGUUGCACAGUUUAACGCUAUAGAAAUUACAACCAGCAGAAUUAGUUUUCACUAACGUUACAGAUAGUUCCUGUUUACUGGGUCAAAUACUAAAAGAUCCUCAUGGACUUUGGCAAUUGGCACAAAGUACAAAAAUAAUGUCACUUAGGAAGCUACAGCUGUAAUGAAUGAGGAAUAAUUUCUGACUAAAAUGCAACAUGACUCUUUUCAUCCUAAUUGCUUAAAAAAUUGUAAAUAAAAUGACUAGGCAAUAAAAAAUGUUUAUGAUGACUGUUCUCACACACAGGCAUGUGCAGAGCUUGGACAGAUCUCCUGUUGGCCUCAUUCUUUGAAGAUCUGUCACCAGUGUUUGAGAAGAGUCAUGGCCUUUAGAUGUGUGCAUGGACUGGGUGAUUAGACUACUUAUUCAUAGGUUCUUCCCCUUCUGCAGCUAGGCUGCAUGCCUCACAUCUUUGGGCAACUGCAGAAAGAAGCUGGAGCUGGUGUGUUACUGCUGUCAGCUGUACCGUCCACUAGUUUGAGAGGCCUUUCCUUAUCCUAUGAACAACUUCCACUGGAUGCAAGUGCUUCAAUGGAAUCAAAUGUCUCCCCUGUGAACAGCUGGAUCCAGGUACUGGAGAUUUCUCUUUGACCUUUCUUAAAUGGAGUUGCUUAAUUGAGACAUCCAGGCAGAAACCAAUACUUUUAGAGUUGCCUUCACCAUUUAAAAUAGGAAAACUGCUAAAAUCCAAUUUUACCUUAAUAAAUAUUAUUUGCCUUUUAUAAUGUUACAGUUGUAUAUUACUGCAUUUGUACAGCAGACUAACACAGCCUUUGAUAUCCAUGGCAGACCUACAGAAUAGUAGACUUUUCAGAUGCUCUUGAGUGCUAUUUGCACUUCUCUGGGUGCUAGAAAUCCUGGCCUCUUGACAGACACUUCAACACAGCAAGUUCCUGCAUGGUCUGGCAACCUCGACACCCCAAACAAAUCUACAUUUUCCUGCUGAAGAUAGUCCUACCCCUCCUCAUUUGCUUCCACCCCUGAAGCCCUGUCCAGUCCUGCACCAUUUGACACAAUUUAGCUUGCAGUGCGGAGGAGUAUUUUUGCAGAGUUGGUUUCCUAGCAUAUGUGUAAGUCAAGCUCAUUGAGAUGUCAGGUUAGCUCAGCUUCUGGUCAGACCACACCUACUGCUCGAGCCUGCUCCCACCUUGCAAAAUUUGUACUCUGGUAGCCAUUCAUCACAGGAUAGGGAGGUGCUUUCUGGGGGAUGGUGAUACAACCCCAGCCAACACCUUCCUCUAACCAUUGCUGCUUCCUUGACAAUUUCACACUAGGCAAGGAAUAAUUUCUCUGUUCAUGUUCAACAGGAUGAACUCAAGUCAGGCAACUACCUCCAACUACCUUGUGCUGACAAAUGAAACCUCUCAAGUCAACCUGCCAGUUUGUCCUGCAGUCCUGUCAAAAGAUUCUAUUCCUAAGCAAACGGGUCUAUAUGCGAUGCAGAAAUUGAGUGCAAUCCCUAUGAAUAGCAGCUGAAUCUCUUUUCAUGUUUGCUAAGGUUUAAACUGAAGAUGAAGGCCAACAUUCAGGAUGAGGUUGGAUUUGAGUAAAUGUGGUCUGAUUCAAAACCUUGACAUUAUUUUGUUUUUCUUUGGUACCACACAAAUAUUUUGUUUAAAAACCAGAACCAUAUGGCUCUCCAGAUUUUACUGAAGUUGUUCCACUACUUGACUGUAUUGCCUCAAAUUCAGAAGACACCUCCCUGAACUGUUUUUUGUGUCCUAGUUACUUCUUCAGGCCUGUGAUUUACAGGUAUUCUGCUUGUUGCCCUUUUAGUUUUAAGGUAACUUGUUGAACUGAUUCCCUACCAGUCCUUCAAUUUAAAUCCCAGCCUUUUAAAACAACUGAGUUCCAGUUUUUACAGAAUACAGUACAGAAUACACCGCACCAGCGUGCAUUCCUGCCUAUCUUGUCCAGUUGCAUUCUAGACUUCUGUAUGACAAAAAAACCACUUUAUGGAGGAACAGUGUAACACACAUGUGAACACUGAGCUGGACCACAUACCAACAAUCCUUCAGUAAUACCUUCCUUUAAAGACAGGGUCACUGGCAGAAGGGCCUAUUGAAACCAGAAAUAAUAUAUUGUAACUCAGAAGUUUCAAAGGAGUGUACAAACAGAAAAGACAUUUCCAUGUACUGCUGGCACUGCACCUGACAGAAGAUGAGUUAACUGGUGCACUUCCUUCAGAAUUUGUGCAACUCUAAGAUGUAAAGCAACAAGAUGCAGUUACAGUGCUCAAAUAAAGCAAUGAGCUAAAAACUGGAGAGGUGUUAGUUGUAGCUUUCUUUCUAACUUGCACGAUCUUUCACAGCCUUCCCUAAAGUUUCAUCAGAAUCUCUCCUAAACUCCUCUGCUAUUUACAGUAAAGUCUGUAUCUCAACUGUGAAAUGGCCACAUUUUGGAGUAUGGUAAAGUUAUUCUUGUCAUGUAUAGACCAGUUGUGCUUUAUCUACGUAGCUCAACUUAGAUACAACACAUCCUUUUCUGCAAAUAGACUGGGAACUGGUCACUGGACCUACAGUUUACCAGAAGAAGCCUAGAAAGAGGGCUUUAAGAGGGAAGGCUUUUCAAUAAUGUACCUGUCAAGGUUAGUUUAUUCAGGUCACAUACUGAGACAUGACAUUUGAUGAUUAAUCUCAAAUAAGAGGAAACAGUGGCUCCUCUGAUUGGGCAACAAACUCAGCCUCACUGGUGAUCUCAAGUCAGUGCUAAUUCAGCAAGAAGACUACCACCUAACAGAGCUCCCAUACAGUACAGAUGCAAUACCUGUUAGAUUCAGGGCUUUUCUAGAUUGAUUUCAUUCUAGUAUGUCGAUAGACAAAAAGCUACAACUAGUAUCUUUUCUUGUUUCCUUUUAUUCUUGAAUAUUUUUGUUUUUUGUUUCGCAUGUGUUCUUUAUCUUCACUGCAAAGCUGCAAACUAAAACUUUCUUAUCAGGUUUUUAUUCAACAUUUGCAAAUCUUUUUGCUUCUUUUUUUUUUUUGUAAUAUAGCACAUCUAUUUCUUUGGCAAAUUUCUUGUAACUUAACUUUCUCUUUUAAUACUCACAUCUAUUCUAUUAUUCUUCUCUUUUUAAUCUGAAUUUAAUAUUAACAUCACAGCAUCCCCCUAAUUUAAAGAAUUGGACUAGAAACGUUGGUGGUCCUCAGCUGGUCCUCAGUUCUAUUAACAUCCGAGUCUUAAUGAGCUAAAAAACUCUCAAUGUAUAAAAGCAACCCCAAUAGUUGUAUUUCAGAUUAUUCUGUCCUUAAGCACUGCAGCUAUGCCACAAGCCUGCAAACCAAUCCAUACAGGUAAACUUUUAGAUCAGCAGUGGCUUGCUGAAGUCACAAGAGCUCUCAAAAUACAUCCAAUUGUAGAAGCAAUUCCAGUUUAGGUCCUAGACAACAUACUUCAUCUAAAACAAAAAAAACUGAUACUAUUUAGUAAUACCCUUUUAAUUAGCAAGGCCCGUUUUCUUAAUGUCAUUCCCACCUUCCCAGUAUACAAACAGGAAUCAUUUCUUGUACAGUUCAAUCUUUAAAUGAACUGUAUCAGAAGUUCAAAGUUACUGUAAUAAUUCUGAUUCCAGCAUGACAGUGUAUCAUCCAAUUCACUAAAAAUGUCUAAUGCUGUACAGGAAAUUUCAGAUUUAAACCAGCUGUAGAAGACUUUUUUUAGAUCCUACAGCAGCCUUACACUGCACAUAAUCUCGCAUUUUCAUCUUGCCCCUGAAACUUGCUUGUGUAUAUAUAUGUAAUCCUUUUUAAGGUUGUGUAUUCUAGCUUAUACUGGUCAAAAAGUAUUUCUGACAUUAUCAUAUUAUUACGCCAAAUAAGCGUGACUUCUGUUCCUAGUCACUACUUGUGCUUCUUAGGGAGUACUGAAACUAAAAUAAGUAAGACUACAAAACAUGCAGUAAGAGCAAUCUUCUGCUGAUGGGAAGAUACUGCUGGCUUCCUCCAUCGUGACUUCCUGCCAUUACAUUCACAUUAUCAUGGUCUGUUUUUCCUGGUCUGUGAUAGUUUUGGGCUAAGGCUGGGCACUUACUGCAAGGUCAUAGUGAUGGGCUGAUUCAGAAGCACUGUUUAUUCUCCGUUUGGAGAAUAUGCUGACAAUCCUGGCCAGCAGAAUUCCCUGGCUAGCCGAUAGCUUCAGCUACCUAGCACAAACACGGACAGAUAAGAAUAUGCUUAACCUAUCUCCCAUGGAAUUCUCAGUGACAACAGUUCUUCAGCCCAGUGCUUUUCAACCUCAUUCACAGACCUCCAGAAUUCUCUAUGAAAGAUAACUAAGAAAAAAGCAUGCUCUGGGGAGCCUGGAAGCUGAGGGUCGCCUGCUGCCAUGGCCUACGUGCUGCUGCAUCACGCCUCAGAUGUGGGGCAGCCGAGGCCACGCUGGGCUGGUGCACCCUUAAGGGAACCCCUCAUGAGCUCUGGGGGUGCGACAGAAGCAGGCCCUGCCAAUCGUCUGUGCACCAUCACGUACACGGACAGUGCUUUAUACCGAUUUCCUGUCAGAGUUCAGUUUCCUACGUUUCCUCGUGUUGCAAAACACGAAGGACAGAGCAGCCAACCGAUCAUAAGGGGAAUCUUGUCAGCGCCCAUUACUGUGACUGAAAGAAGCCCGUGUGCGAGAAUAACUGCUUGGCCCCUUCUCUGAGGCUCUGCUGAGCCCUCGCGUCUCUGGAGGGCUGUGCCUGACGCGGGAGCCGCUCAGCCGGCCGCCAGGUGCGAGCCGCGGCCGCCAGCUCCU